rnacentral:misc_RNA from 1 species
UGUUUCUCGGCUUGAUGAUGGUGAUGAAACCAAACUCCGAGUCUUGGGAAAUACUGCUUCCAGCGGUGAUGGAAGUAGUAAUGGCACCUUUUAUAGGGCCGUUCUUCUAGUUCGUCGAGGGAAGUACGACGAAGCACGUGAAUAUGUUGAAAGAGCAAGGAAAUGUUUGGCAACCGAGCUUGCUGCACUGGUUCUUGAGAGCUAUGAACGUGCUUACAGCAACAUGGUUCGCGUUCAACAGCUUUCUGAAUUAGAAGAGGUCAUUGAGUACUGUACUCUUCCUCCUACGGGAAACCCUGUUGCUGAAGGAAGAAGAGCCCUUGUUCGCAAUAUGUGGAAUGAGCGCAUAAAGGGUGCAAAAAGAAAUGUCGAG